UUGCAAUGAAAGAAAGUUGGCUUGCAGGCACGUGAAAGAUGCUAUGGAGAAACUCUACAUGUGGGUACUUCUAAAAAGAAAGGAGAUACUGUUCUCAGAAGCAAGAGUUAUGGGUUUGGGACCACGAUUCAUGUCAAUAUACAUCCACAAGCUUGCUACUGAACAGCGAAUAUAUUAUGAUGAAGUUGAGGGACUGACUGUGGAGUGGCUUGAGGCUACUUCAACAUUGGUACUUAGUCCGUCUACAAAUAAGCGCUUUAACAGGAGGGGUAGUCCAGGGAAGUGCAGAUCUCUUGAAGAAGUAGCACUCAUUCUUAGCCCAUGUGAACUGAACCAAGAACUGGAUUUGUGUGGACCAAAUGAUCAGGAAGGGAGCGGUGUGUUACAAAUCGGAAAUGCUUCAAAAUCUUGUCUUCCUGGUAUACCAAAGAUUGAACCUGCUGUUUUCCCUGUGACUCUGCGACUUCUUUCAACAAUCACUG
rnacentral:misc_RNA from 1 species